rnacentral:rRNA from 1 species
GACGAACGCUGGCGGCGUGCUUAACACAUGCAAGUCGAACGGUGAAGCGCCUUCCUUUUUGGUGGGUGUGGAUGAGUGGCGAACGGGUGAGUAACACGUGAGUAACCUGCCCCCUUCUUCUGGAUAACCGCAUGAAAGUGUGGCUAAUACGGGAUAUUCUGGGUCUGUCGCAUGAUGGGUCUGGGAAAGAUAUUGUUUCGGUGGGGGAUGGGCUCGCGGCCUAUCAGCUUGUUGGUGGGGUGAUGGCCUACCAAGGCGGUGACGGGUAGCCGGCCUGAGAGGGUGGACGGUCACGCUGGGACUGAGACACGGCCCAGCCUACUACGGGAGGCAGCAGUGGGGAAUAUUGCACAAUGGGCGCAAGCCUGAUGCAGCGACGCCGCGUGAGGGAUGGAGGCCUUCGGGUUGUGAACCUCUUUCGCCAGUGAAGCAGGCCUGCCUCGUUUGUGGGUGGGUUGACGGUAGCUGGAUAAGAAGCGCCGGCUAACUACGUG